AUCUGAAGCCAUCAUCCGUUCCGUCGGAGAACCUUCCAAAAGGCUCACACGAUCGUGUGGUGAAGACCCGGAAGCCGCCUAAAGGUGACAGAGAGAACCCAUCCCUCGAUGAGUACAGCCCCAGCACUCUCAGCCAGGUUGACCAUGAAAGCUGCAACGGAGCACGCCUGAGGGCCGAGCACGUCAUUGUUCAAGAAGACUGGACCGAGAAGUCGCUGCUUACCACAGGAUCACCCUUCCAAGUAGAUUCGUGCAUUCAAGUGGACACCCUACUGAAGCAGAAGCAAGGGCCCCGAAUUUCGUUGUCGAUGGUAAAGUCCGACAAAGAGCUUGUCAUUCUUUCUGGUGUUGGUUCACUACAGUUGAUGAAAAACAUUGUAACGGAAUUCGAUAAUGUGAGAAAGCAGAUGACUUUGAAGGCUCGUUUUCUGUGUUCGGGUGACCUUGUUUUGAUGGUUAUGGUGAAGCUCUACCACAACGUCUCUAUUAGCUUCUUGGCUUUUUUGUUUGGUGUUCACAGAACAACUGCAUCCGAAAACCUGAAAACGGCAAUCUGUAUCCUGAGUCACGUGCUUGGUGCUGCCGUCUUCAUUCCAUCCGACGAGUCAAUCGAGGAAAACCUUACAGUGUAUUUUAGAAAAUUUCCUCACACUAAGAUCAUCCUUGACUGUACAGAGAUAGCCAUACAGAGGCCAGCUGACCUGACAUCACGAAUAAUCACUUACAGCCACUACAAGAAGACAUA